UUGGCGGACGGGUGGAGGUAACGCGUGGGGAACCUGCCCUGUACAGGGGGAUAACACUUAGAAAUAGGUGCUAAUACCGCAUAAGCGCACAGUAUCGCAUGAUACAGUGUGAAAAACUCCGGUGGUACAGGAUGGACCCGCGUCUGAUUAGCUGGUUGGCGGGGUAACGGCCCACCAAGGCGACGAUCAGUAGCCGGCCUGAGAGGGCGGACGGCCACACUGGGACUGAGACACGGCCCAGACUCCUACGGGAGGCAGCAG
rnacentral:rRNA from 1 species